ACACGUAAGGUGCGAGCGUUGUUCGGAAUCAUUGGGCGUAAAGGGCAUGUAGGCGGUCUGUCAAGCCAGGCGUGAAAGCCAGGGGCUCAACCCCUGAACUGCGCUUGGAACUGGCGGACUGGAGUCGCUGAGGGGGAACCGGAAUUCCUGGUGUAGGGGUGAAGUCUGUAGAUAUCAGGAAGAACACCGAUGGCGAAGGCAGGUUUCCAGCAGACGACUGACGCUGAGGUGCGAAGGUGCGGGGAGC
rnacentral:rRNA from 1 species